rnacentral:siRNA from 1 species
CACGGUAUGACAAUGCGGUACGGU